UGCUUGCUUUGGCAGCAAUCCACUAAAACUAGAACAAUAUAGAGAAGAUUAGCAUGGCCCCUGAGCAAGGAUGACUUGCAAAUCCUUGCAAGGUUCCAUAUUGUU